UCGAUAUUAAGUGACAGAGAAAACCCAAAAUCCAGAGAGAGAAGUGCUCGUGUGAUACGUGAUUGGAGAAGAUGAGCAUAUAUACACUGAUGGCAGUGUGGUUUUUACCGGGAAACCCACCUGUGACUGUAGCGCAUUUUUUUUCAUUAGAGGAAAAGGAUGACGUAGAAGUUGUACGCGCUGGAGUAAGGUGAAGAAAGACACUCGCUUGUCUGGAUUGGAAAAUGAGUUACACUGCAGCUACAGUGAGUCAAAAGUCAAAGUAUAGUGGCAACUGGCGACUGGUGAAGAUUGUAAACAAAAUUCAACCUCAUACUAUUAAUAUACGUACGAGCAUCGUACCGUACGCCGAAUUUAUCUAAAUUUGUGAAAUAAAAAUUGAUUGUAGAAAAUAAUUUCAAAUGAAAAUAUUAUUUUGGAACAGAUGAAUUGUAAUUUAUAAUAUGUAGCGUCCCUUUUUUUUUUUUUUUAUGGCAUAGUAUCGAACAUAGUAUCGAACAGUUCAAUAACAAAAUAUUAAAAUCUCAUUUCAAAUCAGUUGCAUAUAUAUAAAAACUACCACAAUCUAUUGUUCAAUGUCAAAGAUAAACAUUUAACCAUAAAUCUGAUAUCACAGUUAAAUACAACCUUAUACACCCUCAGCAGACAUACAAUCUACACUACUACUAACUUUUACACACUUAAUUCCACAAGUGGAAAUCCUUGCACUGUUGCUUUAUACGCUAAGCUCGGAAACCGACAACUCCGACCCUGAUUCCAUCCCUACUUCAUCUGUUAAUAAUAAAUAGUGAGUACAUAUAACUAAUUAGAAUAAAAAUUAAGUUACAAAUAUCAUAUGCAAACCAAUAUAAAACCUCAUAUUUUUAUAUGUAUUCUCUUUCUGUAGCCUAAGUCAUACUUUCUUACUACCAUUUAACUACACAGGAUUAAUACCUAUCAUCCGGUAUUUUAAGUGUUACUCAUACUAGGUGUGACCAUCCUCCGACAUCACCCCUUCGACCCGGGUUAGGCCAGUCAACCGUACAAAUGUUCUCAUCCGUCACCAAUAUCAGCGACCAUCAAUGAACAUUUUAUCUCUCGACCCUUAACAGGCCACACACACACACCAAUACCAUUUUCUCUUGUCACCAAUAUCGGCGACCCAACCCCUUACCCGUCGGAGUCCCCCAACUAUUACUACUAUCGGCGAUCAACGUACUCAUUCUAGAUAGCGAUAACCAAUAUCGGCGUCCCCCAGCGCAACCACCUCAAGGACAAUUUCACCCCGUUUUUACUCAAACUGCCCAUUAAACCAGCAUAAUUGAUUUUUUCCCCUCACUAGUAUACCAUUCUAAACCGUUCCUACACCACAACAUUGUCCUGAAACUCUCCUAUACUUUUAAUCUGUGUACAGAACCUACACACGUCUUCCCAUACGACACACACUUACCCUUAGCAGUCAUACACCAGUAGUGUUCACUUACCAAACUCUUAAAUUUACAGUAGCUAUACCAACCUAUAUGCACAUGCAACUCACACCUGCAUACCCCACAUCUACAUCAAUACACCUCUAUCCCAAUCCCUCACACACACGCGCUACACACCUCCCUUUCCUACUCCCUAAUUUUCAGAAUACACACACUCCACCAUUCCAUG
rnacentral:lncRNA from 1 species